AUUUAAAUAUGUAUAAAUCAUUUUUUAUAUAUAUUUCAAUGAUGUUCAUGUAUUUACAUUUUAGACUUCCUCAACUUUGCUGAUGAUAUUCGUCCAUUCGACGAUGAUGAAACAGUAAAUGAAACAUCAAAAGACAGCAGUGCAGAUCAAGUUCUUAGUGUGCCUGUUCCUGUGAAUAAUAAGGAAAUUAAACCAAGCAGGAAUCCAGCUGUUGGUAAAAGGAAAGAGCAGACCCUGAGGGAACUGCAGAUGGCAUAUUAUGCUGGAGCCAUUGCAGUUCAACAGGAAAAGUUGCUCCUUAUGAAAUCCCAGAGAGAGUUUUUUGAGGAGGGAAAGCUCAUGAUGGCAUUUGCCAAAGACAAACUGUAAAAGAAUGUCAUAAAACAACAUUUUUUAUCAUUUUGAAAAAAAAAAUUCUAAAAAUGAUAAUAAAUGAUACAAAUUACAUUUGUAGCCGGGGUUUGUGUAAACAACACAAUGGGUUUUAAGUUCCAAGUUUUUAAUAUAUGUGAAUGAUGGUCAGUGUCCAAGACUUAGUGUAGAAAGGGGCAAUUGAAAAUAGCCAACUACAACAUCUACCUCUUGCAAGGUUUUACAUACAAGUGACUUAACAUUUAGUUACUAUUUAAAAUUAUAUGGAUGAACAUGAAAUCAUCUCACAAUAAACACAAAAAUGUAAAUAAAGUAAGUUAGAGAGUAGACACUCAGUUGUAGAC